rnacentral:tRNA from 1 species
GCCCUCGUAGCUCAUGGGCAGAGCGCCCGCCCGACACGCGGGAGGCGAUUGGUUCGACACCAGCCGGGGGCACCA